rnacentral:ncRNA from 2 species
AGUCAGCUUCGGGGUCGGUGAAAGUCCGAACCGGCGGUUAAAGUCCGCGACCCGCUUAGGCGGUUGAACUGGUGAAACUCCAGUACCGACGGUUAAAGUCCGGAUGGGAGAAGCUCUAC